AAUUCCAGCUCCAAUAGCGUAUAUUAAAGUUGUUGUGGUUAAAAAGCUCGUAGUCGAACCUUGGGCCUGGCUGGCCGGUCCCCCUCACCGGGUGCACUGAUCCAGCCGGGCCUUUCCCUCUGUGGAACCCCAUGGCCUUCACUGGCUGUGCGGGGGAAACAGGACUUUUACUGUGAAAAAAUUAGAGUGCUCCAGGCAGGCCUAUGCUCGAAUACAUUAGCAUGGAAUAAUAGAAUAGGACGUGUGGUUCUAUUUUGUUGGUUUCUAGGACCGCCGUAAUGAUUAAUAGGGAUAGUCGGGGGCAUCAGUAUUCAGUUGUCAGAGGUGAAAUUCUUGGAUCUACUGAAGACUAACUACUGCGUAAGCAUUUGCCAAGGAUGUUUUCAUUGAUAAGGAACGAAAGUUAGGGGAUCGAAGACGAUCAGAUACCGUCGUAGUCUUAACUAUAAACUAUGCCGACUAGGGAUCGGACGAUGUUAUUAUUUGACGCGUUCGGCACCUUUCGAGAAAUCAAAGUGCUUGGGCUCCAGGGGGAGUAUGGUCGCAAGGCUGAAACUUAAAGAAAUUGACGGAAGGGCACCACCAGGGGUGGAACCUGCGGCUUAAUUUGACUCAACACGGGGANACUCACCAGGUCCAGACACAGUGAGGAUUGACAGAUUGAGAGCUCUUNCUUGAUUCUGUGGGUGGUGGUGCAUGGCCGUUCUUAGUUGGUGGAGUGAUUUGUCUGCUUAAUUGCGAUAACGAACGAGACCUUAACCUGCUAAAUAGCCCGUACUGCUCUGGCAGUUCGCUGGCUUCUUAGAGGGACUAUCGGCUCAAGCCGAUGGAAGUUUGAGGCAAUAACAGGGUCUGUGAUGCCCUUNAGAUGUCCUGGGGCCG
rnacentral:rRNA from 1 species